rnacentral:sRNA from 1 species
GUCCCAGUUGCAGGUUCAAUCGUGUCCCUCACAGCCCAGUUGAAGCUUUCUGAUUAGAGCUUCCAGCCAUGCCUUCAAAUCAUCCGAUUCAAGUCCGCGCAACCCGGCCAUUGUACCGAUUCGCCGCGACCGCUCUUGGAGCCAGCAUGUGGUUUUUCUUGAUGUAUCGCGCUAAGAAAGACGGUCCUGUUCUACUCGGUUGGAAACACCCUUGGGAACAUUGAAUUGAUGUUUUUUACGAUGACUCAGAGCAGAGGAAAUGGAAAGGAGUAUUCCUAGAAAGAUAGAGCUCCACUAGGAAUGGAAUUAUACAGUCGUGUACAACCUGACGCAUCGUCAGUGUCAUAGUAGUUCGAGGCAACGAGCAACUGCAAAUUCUCGAUAAGCAGAUGGAUGCUAUGGAUUGCAUGCAUUAGAGGAUAUAAUGGGUAUCAUAUUCUUUCUUUUCCUAUGGUCGCUUUCAAUAAGGCAUAAAAUCAAGCUAUAUGCUUUUGCAAAAUUCCUUAAACCCGUAAAUCUAUCCCAUUUUCUACCUCUUCUAAAUUCGAGUGGUGACAUCUGCGACAAUAUAUAAUCCUGAAAGAGGGAAGUUUAUAUAAUAAGUCUAUGAUUCUUCAAGCAGACUCUUAUACCGACGCCGCUGUUUUGCUUGAUCUGGACGAAGCCAGCAAUGAAUGCGACCAACAAGACGAGUCAAUCUGGGGAAAACCAAUCGUUCCCCAAGCCAUGCGAUUGAAAAGUUCACAAGUGCUAGGCCCAUAAUCCAAAACUUGAACCAAGUAGACAUUUCGGUAAGUUGCAUGAAAUUGAAUAACCAUUUCGCUGGUUCAAAUAGCAUGUAUGAGGAGAACAUAAAUGUAACUAUGAUGGUGACGACAAAGGGUACGUUCGAAGUCAUUGGUUGCCGGAAGGGGCGCCCUACGCUGAUUACAGGGCCAGAAAAUAUAUAUUCGAAACAGGACAAAAGGAAAAGUGCCGUGUUUUGGGAAUUUUUCACGUUUGUAUCGUUGAAUUUCUUUUUCGGUGGAAUAUACCAGUCUUGGAACUGAACAGUCUCAAAAACAACGAACUGCAUUAUGAUACAAAUACCGAUUUGACCGAGAAGCGGAACUAGAACUUUGAGGGAAACUAGAUUUGAGGUCGGAGCCUUGCGGCAAAGAAUAGAGCUUGGUCCAAUCCAACCCAUAAAUAUUGCAAUGGGCAGGAUCAAGAGAAGGUCGAUAAAUAAAUACUGGAAGUCUCCU